GUCCCUGUCGUCUAGUAGGCCCAGGACGCGAGGUUCUCAACCUCGAAACCGGAGUUCAACUCUCCGCAGGGACA
rnacentral:tRNA from 1 species